ensembl:lncRNA
GUCAGAAGCGCCUCAUCCUCGGUAUCCAGGGACCUCAUCAGGACCUGCUGCCAUGGCAACCGUACACACCAAACACCGGGAUCACGGUGACAGAGAUCCAGAGCUGCACUUUCACUUUAUUAAAAGCCUCCGAUGACACACAGCCCUCGUCUGAUGCAUGCCGCACAAAAAUGGCAAAAAAAAAGCGCUCAGACAUAAUCUGAAGUUUGCAGUACUGAGUACAUUACAGCACAUAGCUGAGCCAUGAAAGCAUCUAUAACAUCCUCAUCAGAAGAGCACUCACGAGAGAAGAACUCCAAACUACACUGAAAACAAUCGCUGAACGUGAUGCUGACGGCCGAGACGAUGAGAGCAAACACGAGACGACAGCAGCGCUAACUUAACCAGAAGAGCCGAGAGCACUGACGCAAACACACUGAGCGUGACUACAGUACUGUCAGAAAGUCUGGGGUAAGAAAUCAACGCUUUUAUUCAGCAAGGGUGCAUUAAAUUGAAUAAAAGUGACAGUUAGGACAUUUCUAAUGUCUCAAAAGAGAUCUAUUUCAAAUUAAUGCUGUUCUUUUGAACUUUCUGUUCAUCUGUGAAUCCUGAAA